UCGUGGAGCGCUGGGGUGUCAGGGAGCGUUGCUGACGGGCUCCGCCUCGGGGAGACCGGACGGGAGCGACUGCCGUAGACCUUCCCUGGACCCGCGGCGAUUGCUCUUUGUUAACCUCGGGACAUCGCGCCCCCUCCUGGCGACAUUUACUCGGCUCUACGUCACCCGGUCUCGAAAGGAUCUGUUUCCGGGCCAGGAGCUACAAGUCAUACAAGAAAACAAGAUCAUCACGGAGAUACAGUGUAUAUUUCUCAACGAAAUCUUGGAAAGUGCCUUCCUGGAGAGGAACGUGAAACUUUUGCGGAACUCAAGAGUAAACAGGGUUAUUUCACUGGGGAAGUGUGGAGGGGGAAAAAAAAGGCAAAUUACAGCAGAAUAAAAUGAAGUGCAUCUAGAUAGAUAUGGAUGUGAGGAUAUAGACGCCACUUGCAUGAAAUUCCGUCUUCCUUAAUAAAACCCUUGAAACCGAGAUAGCCCUGGAUGAGCAUGAGAAGAAAGUCCUAGCUGAAAAGACGUGCCGGUCCUCAAACCCAAGUGGCCUUUGCAAUAAAAAUUUAUCUUGGGAGAGACUCUUAGAGAUCACACACCUGGCAACACCAUGAUGGGAGUGCAUGAAUAUUAUUACUACGGGAAGCAAAAAAAGACUCAUUCUUUUAGCCCUUUUCCCUAAUUUUCACUUAGCACAGAAAAAGACUACCCAAGUAGUCUAAUAGAUUUUUAAAACCAAAAUUGUGGGGAAAAAAAAGACAUAUACCACAUUUUAUCAAGUGGUUCUCUCUGAUUUUGCUCUGUGACUUUGUCUUCCAGAUUUUUUGCACAGGGCCUGAUUUUCAAAUUUGUUUCUCUGAGAAAUUAUUUUUUUGUUUUUAUUAUUUAAAAAAAAAAGAUUUUUUUCAUGAGACACAGAGAGAAAGAGAGAGGCAGAGACACAGGCAGAGGCUCCAUGCAGGGAGCCUGAUGUGGGACCCGAUCCGGGGUCUCCAGGAUCACGCCCUGGGCUGAAGGCAGUGCUGAACCGCUGAGCCACCCGGGCUGCCCAGAAAUUCUUUUUUUAAAUGAUUGAGAGAGAGAGAGUGUGUGUGUGUGUGCAUGUGCAUGAGUGGGGGAGGGGCUGAGGGCAAGAGAGAGUCUCAAGCAGACUCCCCAGUGAGCACAGAGCUCUACUAGGGGCACCACCCCAGGACCCCAAGAUCAUCUGAGCUAAAGUCAGACACUGAAGGCCCCCAGGGCCCCUCUGAGAAACAUUCUAAUCAGAAAAAGUGCUCUGUGAAACCUGAUUCCCCUACUGAAACUAUCACACCAUCCUACAUCCUAUAAUCAUGUUGUAAUUGCCUGUUUCCCUAGUUAAAGAAAUUUUCUGGUACUGUUACCCCUGCCCCCAUCUCUGCUCUCCAACCAGUUAGCAUACUGCUUAUCAUAGAAGUUUUUUUUUAAAUUUUAUAUUAGGAAGAGGGAGCACAAGCAGGGGGGACUGGCAGGGGGAGAGGGAGAAGCAGACUCCUGGGCAGGAAUCAUGGUGUGAGCAGAUGGCAGAUGAUUAACAGACCCAGGUGCCCCCAUAUAAGAAUUUUUCCAUUUGUCAAAGGGCUGAAUAUUGAACAAUCCCAAUCAUUUUGGAGACCCAUUGUCAAGUGGAGAUAAUUAUUAAAUACCUCAUGGUUUGUUCCUGGUGCCAACUCAAGACACUUAAUCCCUCGUUAACAAGUUGGGAAAUGAAUUUUAUAGUCCCACUUUCCCUUGCCUCACCACUGUCAUCUAGGAUUGCUGGGUAAUGUUAGGAUCUGAAGGAAACAUCACACACAUAUACGUAUUGCAACACCAAACUUUCAGAAUGUUUCUGUAUUAAAAUGUCUGUUUGAAUAGC
rnacentral:lncRNA from 1 species